rnacentral:rRNA from 1 species
UUCCAGACUCCUACGGGAGGCAGCAGUGAGGAAUAUUGGUCAAUGGGCGCGAGCCUGAACCAGCCAAGUCGCGUGAGGGAUGACGGUCCUACGGAUUGUAAACCUCUUUUGCCGGGGAGCAAGCGUGCGUUCGUGAACGCGCGUCGAGAGUACCCGGAGAAAAAGCAUCGGCUAACUCCGUGCCAGCAGCCGCGGUAAUACGGAGGAUGCGAGCGUUAUCCGGAUUUAUUGGGUUUAAAGGGUGCGCAGGCGGAAGAUCAAGUCAGCGGUAAAAUUGAGAGGCUCAACCUCUUCGAGCCGUUGAAACUGGUUUUCUUGAGUGAGCGAGAAGUAUGCGGAAUGCGUGGUGUAGCGGUGAAAUGCAUAGAUAUCACGCAGAACUCCGAUUGCGAAGGCAGCAUACCGGCGCUCAACUGACGCUCAUGCACGAAAGUGUGGGUAUCGAACAGGAUUAGAUACCCUAGUAC